GACGUAGGGCGCGAGCGUUGUCCGGAUUUAUUGGGCGUAAAGAGCUCGUAGGCGGCUCGUUGCGUCAAUCGUGAAAACCCGGGGCUUAACUUCGGGCUUGCGGUUGAUACGGGCGGGACUGGAGUUCGGUAGGGGAGACUGGAAUUCCUGGGUGUAGCGGGUGAAAUGCGCAGAUAAUCAGGAGGAACACCGAUGGCGAAGGCAGGUCUCUGGGCCACUGACUGACGCUGAGAAGCGAAAGCAUGGGGAGCGAACAGG
rnacentral:rRNA from 1 species